GUGAGGUUGCUGUUGGUCAAGAUGGCAUUGGAUGUGAUAAAUGUGAUAAUUGGUUUCAUCCUAGUCCACUGUGUAUGGGGGCAUCUGAUCGUGUGAUUGAUGUCAUUCGUGAGGCAGGAGGUGCUGGGGUUGAAUAUGUUUGUACUCAGUGUAGGGCUCGUCCUAUGGUUGCUGGAGCUGGUAAGGAUUCCUCAGGUGACCCAGCUUUAGCUCAACUCUUUGUAAUGGUGAGAUCCUUGUGCUCACCAAUUACUAAACUAACAGAAAGGGUGGACUCUCUUGCCUCACAUUCAUCUUCUGCCUCUCCGACUCAGGUUACCUCUGGGGAUGAUUUGAGAAUGUCUAUUCGGGAGGAAAUAGUAGAGAUGGACGAGAGAAGAAAAAGGAAAGAAUCAGUCAUAUUCAGGGGUGUAAAGGUCGAGUCUAAUGAAGAUGCAAGGACUAGCAUUGCAAACAUCACUCGCUAUAUUCUGAAUACCACUCCAUCUAUGUCUGAUUUAUUUUGUAUUGAUAGAAACAAGUGUCUUUACAGAGUUAAAAUUGCCGAUGAUGACUCGCGUAGGAAGCUAGUGAUGGAAGCAAAAAUUCUUAGAAACAACCACGAGUUCAAUGGCAUUUAUGUUAAUAGGGAUUUAACAUUCAAACAAAGAAAAGAACUGUAUGAGAGGCGACAAGGAACAGGCUAGCUGGUGCCUCAGCUCAGCCUGUAGCCCAGCCUGCCAGUUCUGAUUCUCUUGGCUCAACUGCCCCUUUGCUACCCAACUAAAUGUUAGUUUGUGUAAUGUAAAUAGUCUUAUCAAUAAGGUUGCAUUUGUUAAGCACUUCUUAUUUUCAAAUAAUGCACAUGUAUUAGGGGUUACUGAGACUUGGUUAAUUAGUACUAUUCCAGAUGCUGCAGUUUCAAUUACUAAUUAUAACUUAUUCAGAAAUGACGUUUCUGGUUCCGUUCAUAAACAUGGAGCUGGCAUUUAUGUACACAAUUCUUACAGAUGUCUCAACAUGAACAUCAAAAUACCUAACGUCUGCUCAGUCUUUCUUCCAGAUUACAAAAUAUUUAUUGUAGUUGUUUAUAGACCUCCCUCUUACUCUCUUCAAGACAAUAAUAAACUCAUAGAUUUUCUAACAGAUUUUUGUACUAACAGGGAAGUAAUAGUGAUUGGUGAUUUUAACCUUCCUUCUAUCUCUUGGUUACUAGGCAGUGUAAAUAAUGUAACAGCUAAUACUGAUAAACUUUUUCUAGACUGUUUCACCUCAUUAGGCCUCACUCAGUGGAUUGAUGAGCCAACAAACAUCAGGGCAGGCAAUACUUUAGAUCUAUUUCUCACUACUGAAACUGAUCGAGUAGUCUCCUCUAAUGUGUUUCCCCCAUUUCCCAACUGUGAUCACUGUGUUAUACUUUGUGGCUAUAUUUUCCAGUACAAACCUGUGAAGUCAAAUGUCAGCGCUGCAUCCCCUUUCUGGCCUAAAGCCAAUUUUAAGCAAAUUAAUCAAUUCUUGUCCACUGUAGACUGGGACUUUGAAUUCCAGAAUAUGAACUCUAAUGAUUCAUACAAUAAAUUUUUGUCCUAUAUAAACUAUUUUGGAAGAACAUGUGCUCCACAAAAAACUCUUCGCUCCUCAUCAAGUGCCCCUUACAAACCAUGGGAAUACAAACCUCCUAGAGCUCUUAUAAACAUCCAAAAGAAUAGUUGGAACCAUUACAAACAGAUGAGAGCAGCACAUGCUAGAAACUCUGUACUUGCUUUUGAAGCUUUGCAAACAUUUCUGGAUGUAAAUUACCAGUACAGGAACUAUUCCACUCAGAAACAGAUUUCUUAUGAGGAGGACAUCCUUAAUAAUUACUCAGUUAAGCCCAAAUUAUUUCACUCGUACAUACGCGGGAAAAAAGUAGGCUGUCCUUCCGUUGGUCCUCUCGGUGAUGCAGAAAACUUAGUAUCCGACCCUAAAGAGAUGGCUCAGCUCUUAGGUGGUGCUUUUUCCUCAGUGUUUACCAUACCCUCUGGUCUUCCACAGCCACCACACCAAGUACAUGAUGGCUCCUUUCACCAGAUACACUUCACAGUUCAUGAUGUUGCUAGGGAACUCGGUGCUAUUAACCCUUCCACUGCAAUGGGACCUGACUCUGUUCAUCCAGUAUUACUAAAACAUUGCUCCACUAAUUUAGCAUAUCCUCUGUUUAAAAUAUUCGUUUCAUCUAUAAAUUCGGGGGAGAUUCCUGAAAUUUGGAAAAAAUCUUCAGUAGUACUUAUUUUCAAGAAAGGUAAACGAAGUGAUCCUCUUAAGUAUCGCCCAGUAAGCCUCACUUCUGUUAGCUGUAAAAUUUUAGAGAGAAUAAUUGUUGCUGCACUGCAUAAUUAUUUGGAAGCCAAUUCAAUACUGAAUGUCAACCAGUCUGGUUUUCGCUCCGGCAAGUCUGUGGAGGAUCAGCUCUUACUUACGUAUGAUGCAGUCUCUGAGUGGAUGGACACGGGCAAUAUGGUUGAUCUUAUUCUCUUUGAUUUUUCAAAAGCCUUCGACACUGUUAAUCACCAGAUUCUAUUUACUAAACUUAAUUCAGUGGGCAUUAAUGGUGCUAUUCUAUCUUGGAUCAAGACAUUUCUGUCCCAUAGGACUAUGGAAGUUGUAGUGGGCGGACAGAUCAGUUCUUCAUUUCCAGUAAUUAGCGGUGUGCCAAAGGGUUCUGUGUUAGGUCCUACUCUUUUCCUUAUUUACAUAAAUCACAUCUCCAAUACUUUAGUAUCAAACAUAAAAUUAUUUGCUGAUGAUCUUAAACUUUAUCUUCUGAUAAAGCCUCAGAGCCUUAAUACAGUGUUGGAGGGCAUUAGUAUUGUCCAAAGAGAUAUUGAUUCUUUAAUUAAAGUUGCAGAAUCUUGGGACUUAAAGAUUAAUACUGACAAAACUAAACUCAUGAGCUUUGGCACCGACCUCCGUCAGUCUUAUGAUUUGGGCCGUAUUCGUUUUAUACUGUUAAGGCAAUCCCCUAAGUCUCAGUUUUGCUGCAGUAGAUCUCGGCAUAACCAUUGAUCCAUCAUUAAGAUUCCAUCACCAUAUCCAAUCUGUAGUGUCAAAGGCUGCUGGUUUGUCAUAUUCCUUUCUUAAGUCAGCCUUGUGUCGCUCACCUUCCUUUGUGGUUAAACUAUUCAUUACACAUGUACGUCCACUUCUUGAAUUUGCAUCCCCAGUAUGGAACACAGGUUAUAUUAUCUCUUCUAGAAUCAGUUCAGCGUCGAUGGACUAAGCUUAUCACAGGUUGUGAGACUAUGUCUUAUGAUCAGCGACUUAAAACUUUAGAUCUUUACUCUGUGAAAGGAAGACUAUUGCGUGCAGAUAUUAUUAAAUGUUGGAAGAUCUUCAAUGGUAUGUCAGCUAUAUCACCUACAGAUCUAUUCACCAUGGCACCAACAAGGGAUAUUACUAGAGGGCACAAGUUCAAAAUUUUUGUUCCUCACAGCACUUGCGAAGCCAGACAUAGAUUUUUCUCAGUUGGUGUGGUGAGGCUGUGGAACUCACUCCCCCCAGAGGUAGCAGAGUCAACCAACCUAAACUCUUUCAAGAAGGGACUUGCUGAGUUCCUGGGAGACACUUUAUUUCAUUACUGAGCUCAAUCUACUUAUUACCAUUCUAAACAGGCUUUUAGCACACUUUCCAGUCUUAUCUUUCUUUGUCUUGGAUUUCUGUUGUUCUCUAAUACACAAGACUGGCGUGCUAGCCACUGUGGGGUUCCCUCCAAGGGAGCCCAACCAGGUAAGAACCAGGUAAGGGAGGCGUGUGACGGGUUGAAGGUGUUACGCAUUGCCAGAGACAGUGUUUGGGUACCCUAGACUAGUGUUACAUUAUCAUUUCGUUACCUGCCACACUAUAUAGCUUCGUCACGGUGAUAUAUGGUACUGUGUUAUGUCUACGCAUUAAGGUGACGGUCAGGGAGGCGUGUGACGGGUUGAAGGUGUUACGCAUUGCCAGAGACUGAUUUCGUACCCUAGACUAGUGUUACGUUAUCCUUUCGUUACCUGCCACAGUAUAUAGCUUCGUCACGGUGCUGUAUGGUACUGUGUUACGGGCAGGGAAGGCGUGUGACGUGUGUUCAGGGACAGUGAUACGUAUUGUGUUACCUGCCAAGCCACCUGCGUGACGGGACCGUGUCUAUAUAGGGUCGUAUUAGAAGACAUUUCCCCGCCCAAGAACACAUAUUUGCCAAGCGGGUGAUUUUGACAUGCGGCAGCUUGGGGUCGCCCGCAGGGUCCUCCGCCCCAAGGGAAUGACCAGGACAUGCGCCUCCCCCCGCCAGGCAUGGGGGGGGGAGGUGGUGGAGGUGGAGCGCCGUCACACCAUGAUAACAGGUUUCCCCAUGACCCGCGUGCCGAUUUCGUUGACCAGCGGGGCAUACAGUGCUUCUGAGAGCCCCCGCCCCAGCCCCGAGACCUGCGGGGUGACCCACUGGACUUGAGGCUGAGUAGCUAGCGUGCGGCCUUGCAUUCUCCCUGUGCUGGAGGACGCGGCUUCACGCUGCCACCAGGGAUUUUCCUGUCACCAGCGAGGGGCCUAAGACUACCCACAUGCUGUCCUGAAGACCACCCAGCAACCCGGACUCUAGAGGAAACCGUCCAAGUCCUGGUGGCACUCGACCCAAGCUACUGGUACUGCCGGAACCCCCUGGCUGGCGGAUGAGAUCUUCCUGACGGAUGUGACGGCCAACUUCCUGACUGUGAGGAUCGGGGAGUGCAAGAAGCGGCCGGAGGUUUUCAAGGACACGACCGACCCAAACCAGAAUUCCCAGUGCUCGAUUGUGUGAUGUGUGGUGAUUGUGAAUAUGUCUUGACUUUGCUGGUGAAGGUUUCCAUGGCAAAUAGGAUCAUACUGAAAAGAUAUUAGCCGGGGGUCUUCAAGGACACGACCGACCCAAACCAGAAAUCCUAGUUCUCAAUUAUGUGGUUAUUGUGAAUAUGUCUUGACUUUGCUGGUGAAGGUUUCCAUGGUGAACAGGAUCAUACUGAAAAGAUAUUUGCACGGAAAGAUAUUGUUGUGCUGUGUUCGUGGGAGUCCCGUAAACAAACAUGUGGGUACAGCUAUUACUGGACGCAAAAUGUUAUUGUAAAACCUGCUGGAUACAUUUGACGAGCAUAGAAAACCACCUAAAAAUUACAAGUUAAAACACUGACAUCACUUGCAGAAUUGGAAGUCCAAACAAUCUAAACUGAUACUUCAAAGGAAGCCCACAGCCUUUGGAUUACUUUAGGCAUUUGGGUUUGAGUCUUGGUGCAAAGCCAGAUUUUUAAGAAAUUUAUUUAUAAAAUUGUGCGGGCCGUGAACACCUCGUGUGUGACCCCCUGCUGCUCACAAGCCGUACACCAAUUAGCCCAGUAGCAGCGACGGGACAAAUUUGUGGCUUUACCGUGGAGCAGCGACGAGCCAAACUUGUGCCAUGAUUUAAACCCCAAAAAAUAGAUGAUACAUAAACUGAUCACAAAUGUUUUGAUAUAUAUUAUGAAAUGGUUUGUGUGAGGGGUGAUUUUUUCUCAUUUUUCUCGCUUAGAGGGACCAUUAAGAAAUAUGAUCCCCGCUGCUACCGGGUUGAAAAAAACAAAACUCCCUAUGGAGAAAAAAUAUUCUCUGGGGAAGCUCAAGAGAUACUCCUAGAUGAAGGCCAUUUCCUGAGGAGUAUUAUGCACUCUUUGUUAUGCCUGUUAGGGCAAACACAGAUUUUUAAUUAGUAUUUUCCCACCAGUAGUACUAUGGGUUGUCCACCUCACCCUACAAUGGAAACAAUAUAACAUUUGAAAAAUCAUGCUAUUCCGCCUUCUGUAUAAAAAGAGAUGUUAUAUGUUUUUUCCUGUUUUAGUCAUGGAAUUUACUAUUAAGCAGAAUAUUGUUGUACACUUGGGCACUUAAACAGGAGGAGGCUUUUCAAACAGGCAAAUGUUGGUGCCCAGAUGUUUAAAAAUGCUGCUUGGAAGUCUGGAAGAGUGACUGGAAUCUGCGACUUCUUAGCUGAUGGGGUCUUCGUGGUGCAGUGGUUAGCACACUCAGCUCACAACCAAGAGAGCACGGGGUCGAUUCCCAGGCGGAGUGGAAAAAUUUGGGCGGCUUUUCCGAUACCCUACGCCCCUGUCCACCCAGCAGUGAAUGGGUACCAGGUAUUAAUCGGGGGUUGUGUCCCGUCUCCUGGGGUCUGUUCUCUUCUCCUAUAAUUCCUUCCCCUUCUGUCUCUCUCUGACACAUGACCACAGAUGUUGCGCCCACUAAACAAAACUUUCCAACUUUUUCUCUGGUGAUUCUCUGUACAGGCAGUGGUUCGGAAGGUGUACUAGACUGCCUCCAGCUGACUGUUUGAGGCUCUACCAUGUCUUCCGGUCAUGGUUUUAGGGUUUCCGCCGUCCAUAAGCUUAAGAAAUCUUGUGUACUGUAUUUCCAAGCUUCUGAAAAUGGACCCAAAAUAUCAUACUGAGUGCCUCUCUAAUGUUCAUCUCUAUGUAUAGGGAAGGGAGUUGUAUCAUAGCCUGUUAAGAAUAUUAAGGUGUCUAUUGUGUAUUUCCA